UGAGUGCGAGCUGCUACGGCAGCGAAGUUGGUGACGUCAAGCUUCCAAGAAAAGCCCUAUACCCGUUAAGGCAUCAUGGCCUGUACCCGAAACCGACACAGGUGGGGUGGUAGAGAAUACCGAGGGGCGCGAGGUAACUCUCUCUAAGGAACUCGGCAAAAUGGCCCCGUAACUUCGGGAGAAGGGGUGCCACCGCAAGGUGGUCGCAGUGAAGAGGCCCAGGCGACUGUUUACCAAAAACACAGGUCUCCGCUAAGUCGCAAGACGAUGUAUGGGGGCUGACGCCUGCCCAGUGCCGGAAGGUUAAGGAAGCUGGUCAGCGCAAGCGAAGCUGGCGACUGAAGCCCCGGUGAACUGCGGCCGUAACAAUAACGGUCCUAAGGUAGCGAAAUUCCUUGUCGGGUAAGUUCCGACCCGCACGAAAGGCGUAACGAUCUGGGCGCUGUCUCGGAGAGAGGCUCGGCGAAAUAGAAUUGUCUGUGAAGAUGCGGACUACGUGCACCCGGACAGAAAGACCCUAUGAAGCUUUACUGUAGCUUGGUAUUGUGCCCGGGCUCUGAAUGCGCAGGAUAGGUGGGAGGCUUUGAUCAUCGGCUUGCGGGUCGAUGUGAGCCAACGGUGAGAUACCACUCUUUCAGAGCUAGGGUUCUAACAGUCACCCGUUAUCCGGGGACUGGACAGUAUCAGGUGGGCAGUUUGACUGGGGCGGUCGCCUCCUAAAAGGUAACGGAGGCGCGCAAAGGUCUGCUCAGGCUGGUUGGAAAUCAGCCGACGAGUGUAAAAGCAGAAGCAGGCUUGACUGUGAGACCUACAAGUCGAACAGGGAGGAAACUCGGCUUUAGUGAUCCGACGGUUCUGCGUGGAAGGGCCGUCGCUCAACGGAUAAAAGUUACUCUAAGGAUAACAGGCUGAUCUCCCCCAAGAGUUCACAUCGACGGGGAGGUUUGGCACCUCGAUGUCGGCUCAUCGCAACCUGGGGCUGAAGUCGGUCCCAAGGGUUGGGCUGUUCGCCCAUUAAAGCGGUACGCGAGCUGGGUUCAGAACGUCGUGAGACAGUUCGGUCCAUAUCCGGUGCAUGCGCAGGAAUAUUGAGAGGAGUUCUCCCUAGUACGAGAGGACCGGGAGGAACGCACCUCUGGUGUACCAGUUAUCGUGCCAACGGUAAACGCUGGGUAGCCAUGUGCGGAGAGGAUAACCGCUGAAAGCAUCUAAGUGGGAAGCCCACCUCAAGAUGAGUAUUCCCAUGGCGUUAGCCAGUAAGGUCACGGGAAGAACACCCGUUGAUAGGCUCUAUGUGGAAGCGCAGUAAUGCGUGAAGC
rnacentral:rRNA from 1 species